rnacentral:lncRNA from 1 species
CUGAACUUGUUGGCUCGAGGACUGGAUUUGCUGGGCUGUUCUUGGGUCAAAACUUGUUGGACUGAAAUUAGAAGUGGGCUGCUGGGCCUAAGCCAAGAAGAAACUGUUGGGCUUCAAGUGGCACUCAAUUCAUUGGCUUCGUGGAUGUGGGCCUGCCUUCAACGCAAAAUGAUGGGCUGCACGCUGGAAUUUCUUUGGUCAAAUGAGGGCUUCCAUGAGUGGCGUCGUUGACCAGCGUGAGUGGAGCUGGACGGCAGAACUCGGUGGGUUCGUGCGGCGUCGAUUGAAGAAGCUGGGCCGUUGAGGAUCGUUGGGCCGAGGAAGAGAAGGCACGGCGUGAGGACGUGCUAGCAAGUCAACCAACGAAGCUAGCGGGGAAGCAUGACUGGUUUGUUGACCGAAAGAUGGUGCUGCAGAGUUCGGUGAGCUGGAUUCGUGGCAGAGUUUCGCUGGCUUCAUGAGCGGAAGACACAGCAGAGAUGGAGACGCACGGCAGCUUGUUCGGUGGCUUGGUGGUCAACAAAAAUCAACGCUGGUGGAGAAGCGGACGAGUGGCAGCUGCUUCGUGUGGGCUGGGACGCUUGGUGGAACAUGGGCUAUUCGAAGGAGUCAACAAUGGUGGAGAACGGGGCUUCUUCGGUUGACCGGUGAAGAUGGGGACUUGGAAGUGGCAGAAGCCGAGCGGGUGCAGGGAAAUGGGAGAGUUUGCUGGUUUCGGUGGGUGAGAUCAAUAAAAGAAAUGAAAAGCAAGCAGAGACAAAAGAGAUGAGGGUGAGUGGAUGAAGAGAAGAAGAAGCAGAACCGAAAGAAGGAUCGGGGGAAGUGGGAUGCAUGAAGAUGGAGAGGGUUGAGGCGUGCGACUGAAGUUU